rnacentral:rRNA from 1 species
CCCUUAGAUGUUCUGGGCCGCACGCGCGCUACACUGAUGCAUUCAACGAGUUUCUUCCUGGUCCGAGAGGAAUGGGUAACCUUUUGAAAGUGCAUCGUGAUCGGGAUAGACUAUUGCAAUUAUUGGUCUUCAACGAGGAAUUCCUAGUAGACGUAGUUCAUCAGACUGCAUCGAUUACGUCCCUGCCCUUUGUACACACCGCCCGUCGCUCCUACCGAUUGAAUGCUCAGGUGAGCCAUUCGGACUUUCAUCAUGCUGGUUUCCAGUUUUGAUGAAGGAAAGUCUUGCGAACCUUAUCAUUUAGAGGAAGGAGAAGUCGUAACA